rnacentral:lncRNA from 1 species
CCUGACUCCAUGGCCGCUGUCUGCCCUAGCCGGCUGACCCCUGUCCCGCGGCGGGGACCUCCCUCCCCCGGCCAGCGCGCACUUUCCGCGCCGCUGGCAGUGCUCCGCCGGGGGUGGCUCCCCUGAGGCCGCGGCGCUUCCCUUCGUCCGGGUCUCCUGGGCGGCCCGGUCUGCGCGGCGACCGGCCCGAGGGCAGGAGCGGAGACGGUGCGCGGUGAGGCCGAGGCCGCGCAGGAGACCCGGCACCACCCGGCGUGGGACCACGGGAGGCCAGCCCAGCCCGGUGCUGCGGGCGGCGUGGCGGUGGAGACUCGGCGGGACCCGAGAGAAGCUGUCGUCCUGAGGGAGAAGGUGUUGCUCACCAGCCGUAACCUGCCUCGCUGCAAAGCAGCAGCUCCCGCCAGAUGCGCUGCAGCUCGGCAGGAGCCAUGUGCCAGGCCCCACCAGCACCCACCUGCCUCACCCAACAGGCUGGGGCUCCCCGCUGGGCACCAACCCUGGCGUGUGCGUCUUUCAGAACGUACCUCUCCUCCUAGAGUUAGACUGAAGUGCAGACAUAGCGGAAUUUAAACCCAGUUUUCAGUUUUCCCGUCCUUAAAACUUAACAUAGCCGUCACUGAGAAUGUGAGAUACAUGGCAAAGUCAGUUCUGGAACAAAGCCUUUUAAUUUAUGCGUGUAACUUAGGUAUAAGAGUUACUUAGAUUACUUAAAAAGUCAUGGUUUGCAGAUACAUUGCAUUCUGUAUAUAUAAAGAAGCAUAUUCA